rnacentral:rRNA from 1 species
UAGUGAGUUUGAUCCUGGCUCAGGACGAACGCUGGCGGCGUGCCUAAUACAUGCAAGUCGAGCGGAUGACAGAGGAGCUUGCUCCUCUAGAUUCAGCGGCGGACGGGUGAGUAACACGUGGGCAACCUGCCCUGUAGAUUGGGAUAACUCCGGGAAACCGGGGCUAAUACCGAAUAAUCCUUCGGACCUCAUGGUCCGAUGUUGAAAGACGGUUUCGGCUGUCACUACAGGAUGGGCCCGCGGCGCAUUAGCUAGUUGGUGAGGUAACGGCUCACCAAGGCCACGAUGCGUAGCCGACCUGAGAGGGUGAUCGGGCCACACUGGGACUGAGACACGGCCCAGACUCCUACGGGGAGGCAGCAGUAGGGAACUC